UUGUAUCUAAGAUCAGUCUAUUCAAAUCAAGUCACUUAAAUAGUAAUCUGCAUUCUGAAUGUCGCUCACACACUCUAAAAUGUUCAUGACGAAUUAAAUGAUUUCAUGCAGGUCAUUCUGUAUUCAUGCGGCCACUGUGACCUCUGACCUGUGAAUGAAUCCGGGGACGAUUGUUCAAACUAGCAGGUUUCUGACGUUGCCCUGCGGCGAAGCGGCCGGUGCCCUGGUGAGCCAGGGCAAAGCUUGGCGCACAAACCAGUGCUACGGCAACCAGGAGGAAUGCCAGUACGAGGAGUCCCCCGCAGCCCUUGAAAUCAGGCGAACAUCUCUCAGCACCCACAAAACCAACGAAAUUGCCUUUGAGUUCACCCCACCUCUGCCGCACCCCUUCUGCAAAAUCAGGGCCCGUUCCACAACGACGUCCCGGGCCGCCGGCCGGCCAAACGACUACUGCCUACUCCACCAUUUAAUGACCGGAAGUGGACUGACCCGUGCAGAAGGCUACGCAGAGACGUGCAAUGAGGCAAUGUGCCCCUCAAAGGCCUCGGCAACAUGCAACGGUGAAGAAUAAGUACUGCACGCUGAGUUUUUAAGUAUCGACGCGACGGAUUUUACUUUUAAACGCAUGUGUCAAGUCUAGAUCCAAACCACAGAAUAUAAUUGAACCUUUUUGUAUUGCUGAACCAUCAUAUAACAGAUGUAUAUUGUGCAAGAAUAAACCCCAGGUUCCUGAAUAAACACUUCUUCGGUG
ensembl:lncRNA